rnacentral:misc_RNA from 1 species
UUUCCGUAGGUGAACCUGCGGAAGGAUCAUUAUCGAGCAAAAAAAAGACUCUCGUUAAGUUCACUAAGAGAGCCGCCCUAGGGUCGCUCCACUUAUUUUACGGUCGGCUUCUACCGUAUAUCUAAGUGGGGCCGGUCGUCGGCUUUCCAGCCGUACACGACUGCCCUUGUGGCGCGAGUUAGGGAGACACUAGGCUCCUCGUCGAUACGAGCGCUAGCCCGGAUGCCGUCUCGCCUUACUCACUAUAUAACUAACGGUAUUCUGUUGGCGUCUACGCCCAGGCCUAGAGUUACGGUUGUCUUUCCGUCGACCGUCGUCAUGGCUGGGAGUUAGUUCCCGCCGUCCUCUUAGGGGGACGGAGGUUGAGCAGACUUAAUGAACGCCGGCCGGGGCGUCGCCAGCAACCCACUUUAACGAGGUUACCGAAUUGAUCACCUCUAAUUUAUUGUUUACGCAAUAAGUUGGAAAAAUUACUACUCUAAGCGGUGGAUCACUCGGCUCGUACAUCGAUGAAGAACGCAGC